GACGAACGCUGGCGGCGUGCUUAACACAUGCAAGUCGAACGGGCCUGUCUUCUUUUUUUGGGGUGGGUUGAGUGGCGAACGGGUGAGUAUCACGUGAGUAACCUGCCCUUCGGUCCUGGAUAACCGCUUGAAAGGGCGGCUAAUACGGGGUGGUCCGGUUGGUCCGCAUGGGCUGGUCGGGAUAGAUUCACUGUUUUUGGUGUUUCGGCGGGGGAUGGGCUCGCGGCCUAUCAGCUUGUUGGUGGGGGGAUGGCCUACCAAGGCGGUGACGGGUAGCCGGCCUGAGGGGGUGGGCGGCCACACGGGGACUGAGAUACGGCCCAGACUCCUGCGGGAGGCAGCAGUGGGGGGUAUGGCACAAUGGGCGGAAGCCUGAUGCAGCGACGUCGCGUGAGGGAUGGAGGCCUUCGGGUUGUGAACCUCUGUUUCCGGUGGUGAAGGCCCUGUCCGUGUGGUGGGGUUGACGGUAGCCGGGGAUGAAGCGCCGGCUAACUACGUG
rnacentral:rRNA from 1 species